AUGAGAUCAAACUUCCACGAACCGCAUGGGCUGCCGUCCCAAGUCAACAGAUGCGAAGAGAAGAAAGAAACCGUCGCUGAUCUAACCUUACGGGAAAGAAACAGAUCCGAAACUCACAGCGCAGCUACUGAACAGAAACUGAAGAAAGAUGCCCACUCACCGCUCCACGAUUUCGCAAACUGUGAUGUUUUCCGCCUUCUCUGGUGCAACCUUGGGCGAGGGAAGUGCAGGAGAGAGGCCUUGCCGGUCGGUGGAGGGAGGAAUCUAGCAGGGGAGGAAGUGCGAUGUGGGGGAGGAAGAAGAUGCCGAGUGGAGGCCACGACCCCGGACUGA
rnacentral:rRNA from 1 species